UUUUGCUGGCAUGCUGUAACACCAUAUCAUCCAUGAAUGUGGUGCAUGCAGUAGGUGCUGCUUUCUCCUUCCAGGAUUUUUAUUACAGCACUAACCACUGACACUUUGUUCUCUGCCAAUUCCUCUGCUCCCUUCUCUCAUGCUGGCAAAAAUAUAGCAGGAGACCUAAAACUGUAGGCCUUGGCAGGAUCAUGUGAAUAUGCUGAACACAUACAUGCUGAUUAAUUCAUUGCCUUAGCAACUGAAAAGUCUCAGCUUAUUCUCCCUUGUUUAUUGGCCCUUUCAGAGCUAAUGUGUGGGGUGAAGAUCAUCCAGAGGCAAAACGCAGCGUCCAUUGACUGCCUGCAUCUGCAAGGGGCCAAAGAAUUCUUUUGAUCCCAAAAGAUUGCCUGUUCCACACAAACAAGUCAGUUUCAGCCUAUGGCUUUGUAUGAAAGGAAUAUAAUACAUCCUGAAGCUCAGAGACCACUGGGGUUGCAUUCAUUGAUAUCCAGAGAUGAGCUCAUCUUCUACCUUAAACCAGUCCUCCUCCUGCAAGAAGGAUGGGAUAACAGGAGGCAGCUCUCAGAGCACCAGACCAUUAUAUUUCUUGCUAAGAAAUUAAUUAUUUGACCACUGGUACACGUGCCUGAGAGAAGACCAUUUAUAAUGCUGCAUCUUCAGCUAGCAUUUCUUCAGCAAGUAAUCCUUGACCUGGAAAUCUCUUUCACUGAAAAUGACUAAUUUUGCCAAUGUUAUUUUUUUGCUGUGACUAUGUUCUUCUGUCUAAUAUAGCCUAAAAGACUUAUUUUAUACUUUCCAAUAUUGGUAAAACAUAAAUAGAAAAUAGACAAUGAAAACUUUCACAAAGCAAAACUUCAAUUUGUUACCCCAGAACUCUGCAUUCGGAAGUGCAAAGUGAUGUACUGGCAAGCAAAAAGGAGAAAACACAGAAUUGACUAACUUAUGCUUUUCUUUGUUCAUAAACUCUAUUGCCAUUCUACACUGGUUUGGAUUUUGCUUCCCUUUUUAUUUUAAGGUGAUCUCACAUUUGACUAUCUUCAUCUGUACCCCUUGUUUUGAGCAACACUGCUUUUCAUGUCUCUCCAUUGCUUAGUUAAGAGAUGCAACAAAUCACAGGUAGUGAUAACACACAACUUGCUCUGUGCCAGCCUUGUCUGUAUCACCCCCAAUCUUGCCAUUUAUUUGCUAAAAGCAGCACUUCUCCAUGCAGUCAUUCUCAAAACUACAGUGCUAACCUUUAGG